CGCCGGCGCGGACGAGGUGCUCACCACCAGCGCGCCGGGGAAACCGAUGCUGGGGGGAAGUUCUGAGACAUCCGGCGCGCAGGCGAAGACAGAAGCGCGGAACGAAAGUCUGUCGGGC
rnacentral:sRNA from 1 species